CUUUUUUUUUUUCAAACCAAAGUGAGCCAUAUUGCUGGGUUUACAUUUCAAUUUUUAACUUUUCAUACGCCAAAAAAGAAAGCACUAUUUUUCUACAAGGAUCAAUAUUUCUAACCGUUUCAACCAUUAUGGCCAGUUUUACGAGGCCCUUGAGCUUGGCAGUGUGUUGAGACUCAUUGCUGCCAGCAAAGUUAAUGAGCUGGGACUAGAGUCACAAAGGAGAGGGUACCGUCAUGUGAUCAAUGCCUUUUGGUUUACUCAUCCAGAUGCCACCUGGUCACAGUGCAUGCUGAGUUUGUUUGUUUCAAAAAUGCAGAUAUGUAAAAACAUAAAGAGGUCAACAGAAGUUAAGCACAGGAGCAAAAUAAACCAAAAGUGGUCAAAGUGCACGGCAGAGUGUCAAUGCUGUCCGUCCUCAGGAUGGGAGAGAGGUACCCUGCUCGUACGUUUUGAAAUCAAAAAGGAGCCUAGAGGCUUUCCCUCUUGCCCACCAAACCAUAGCCAAUGGCAUAGAACUACAGGGUUGCCGUGCGGCAAGCAGAUAGUCUCCUCCCACUAAUGGGUGCUGCAGGGAGAGCCUCUCGGCACUUGACCCUGAAUAGCUAUGUCAGGCUGAUGUAAUGCUGAGGGCAAACUAUUUCAGAUGGCGUCAUUUUCACCAACCCCAGCUGCAGGCUGAGCCAAAGCCCUUCAGGUCCGCCAUGGUUCAGCUUCCUCUCCCCUAGGUUCUUUGAACCGGGUACUUGCCUCUGGGAAGCAUGGCCUUGAUCAGUGCUGGUGGCAUCCUGGUGCUUAGUCACGUGCAUGUUUCCUCAACACAGUCUGAAAACCUUUUCCCAGUGCCCCAGACAAAGAAUAGCAUCUGGUCUUUGGGUGACUCCAAGCCCACGGUGUUUUCCCCUCUGGAAAGAGCCUUCAGCUGUCCCCACCCUGUCUAUGAUGCUUAGCUUCAGAAGCAGGCUGAGCAACUGGAGGGCUACUAAGGGCCUUCUAGGUACUUCUCAUGUCUACAGUCACUGGGUGCAAGACAGCUAUUUAGAGCAUCCACCAGUAGCAUACACUCUCAGGACUAGGAAGGUCUGGUUAAAGACCUUGAAAGCUUUGGCGUAAGCUUUCUGCAGGGAGGGGAAAGAAGGGUGCCUUUCUAGACUCUGCCCUGAAGAUAUGGGAAAGACAGGCAUGGCUAUGGCCAAGUGUGUGGGAACCAGCACCUCUGACCUUGUUGGAACUGUUGCCUGUGUGGUGACGUACACUGUACGUGCCCCGAGUAUAGCUGGGGUGUUAAUGGCCAAGCAUGAUGGGAGGAGCCCUUGAGUCCUAUUAUGUUUCAUUAUGUCACAUGAAUUCUCAAGGUCAUGUUAUAGUGAUUUUUCUCUAGUUCAGGGUGGGCUGGGAUACUUUGUGGAAUGCUCUGGGAAGCCAGAGUGAACUCUCCAAAAACAAAAAAAGAAAAGAAUUCAUUUAUAGCCACACAGAGGCUGUUUUGCAUUACUCUGGUAGACAGGGUGUGUCUACACAGGGCUGAGACAUCUGUAUAUUCUGAGACCUUAACCUUCCUGGUGGGUAACAGCAGGGGCAGGUCCUGGGAGACAGAUACUCUGGAGAUGAAUUUGCUUCGAGGAUGAGUAUGAGAUCCCAGAGAAAACUGGGGACAGAGGGGCUCAUGGGGAGAGAAGGUCCUGGGAACAUUUGCAGACAAGCAUGGAGUUCUGUUUCUAUGCAGACCCUGGGCAUCUACUCUUGGAAAUGACUAGCUGGUCGCCACCAGGAAGGUUGGUCCCUCCUAGGCAGGCAGUCCUUUGUGAGGGACAAUGGUUGCUCUGUUCCUCACCUCCAGUGUUCUUUCCUAUGUGAUUUGGAUUUGUUUUAGGCCCUCGCUAAGUCCUCCUUUCUGUCUUUCUCUUUCCAAUCUCACUUUGCGGCCG
rnacentral:lncRNA from 1 species